rnacentral:rRNA from 1 species
UACAUGGGGUGCAAACGUUGCUCGGAAUCAUUGGGCGUAAAGCGCGCGUAGGCGGUUACUUAAGUCGAAUGUGAAAGCCCUCGGCUUAACCGAGGAAGUGCAUCCGAAACUGAGUAGCUAGAGUACGAAAGAGGGUCGCGGAAUUCCCGGUGUAGAGGUGAAAUUCGUAGAUAUCGGGAGGAACACCGGUGGCGAAGGCGGCGACCUGGGUCGAGACUGACGCUGAGGCGCGAAAGCGUGGGGAGCGAACAGG